rnacentral:rRNA from 1 species
GACGAACGCUGGCGGCGUGCCUGAUACAUGCAAGUUGAGCGCUGAAGGUUGGUACUUGUACCAACUGGAUGAGCAGCGAACGGGUGAGUAACGCGUGGGGAAUCUGCCUUUGAGCGGGGGACAACAUUUGGAAACGAAUGCUAAUACCGCAUAAAAACUUUAAACACAAGUUUUAAGUUUGAAAGAUGCAAUUGCAUCACUCAAAGAUGAUCCCGCGUUGUAUUAGCUAGUUGGUGAGGUAAAGGCUCACCAAGGCGAUGAUACAUAGCCGACCUGAGAGGGUGAUCGGCCACAUUGGGACUGAGACACGGCCCAAACUCCUACGGGAGGCAGCAGUAGGGAAUCUUCGGCAAUGGACGAAAGUCUGACCGAGCAACGCCGCGUGAGUGAAGAAGGUUUUCGGAUCGUAAAACUCUGUUGGUAGAGAAGAACGUUGGUGAGAGUGGAAAGCUCAUCAAGUGACGGUAACUACCCAGAAAGGGACGGCUAACUACGU